rnacentral:rRNA from 1 species
AUUGAACGCUGGCGGCAGGCUUAACACAUGCAAGUCGAGCGGGGACUUCGGUCCUAGCGGCGAACGGGUGAGGAAUGCUUGGGAAUCUGCCCAGUAGCGGGGGAUAACGUUUCGAAAGGAACGCUAAUACCGCAUACGCCCUACGGGGGAAAGGGGGGGAUCUUCGGACCUCUCACUAUUGGAUGAGCCCAAGUCGGAUUAGCUAGUUGGUGAGGUAAAGGCUCACCAAGGCGACGAUCCGUAGCUGGUCUGAGAGGAUGAUCAGCCACACUGGAACGGAGACACGGUCCAGACUCCUACGGGAGGCAGCAGUGGGGAAUAUUGGACAAUGGGCGAAAGCCUGAUCCAGCCAUGCCGCGUGUGUGAAGAAGGCCUUCGGGUUGUAAAGCACUUUAAGCGAGGAGGAAUGGCUCUGGGUUAAUACCCUUGAGCAUAGACGUUACUCGCAGAAUAAGCACCGGCUAACUCUGUGCCAGCAGCCGCCGUAAGAC